rnacentral:ncRNA from 1 species
GACUUUGGAGACGCCCGCGAAUGCGGGGGCCGAAGGGGCAAGCGCGAAGGCGUGAAUCUCUCAGGCAAAAGGACAGAGUUG